rnacentral:misc_RNA from 1 species
CAACACGUGCAAAAUGAAUAAAGCAUUUCUAAAGAAAUUCAUUACAUCUUUUAAAAAUGAGCCAUGCUUGUGGCAGAAAAAAAACGCUAGUUACAAGGACAAGAAUAAGAGAACCAAAUCUUGGGAAACGCUUGUGCGAAAAUACAAAGAGCAUGAUGAAAGCGCAACGGUGCAGUCAGUAAAAAAAAAGUGAAUUCUCUGCGCGCGGCCUAUCGGCGUGAGUUGCAAAAAAUAAGAAGAAGCAUAAAGUCUGGAGCUAGGGCUGACGACAUAUACAGACCAAGUAUAUGGUAUUUCGACCAUCUAUCGUUCCUUCAAGAUCAGGAAUCUUUCGUGGAUGGUAUAAAUACGUUUGAGGACGAAGAUUCAAGCUUCAUAGAAGUUGCAAAAGCAACGAGCAAACCAAAGAAGCGAAAGAGUGCUGACAGCAAUGAAUUCCUUGCAAAAGCGAUGAGACAUUCGGAAAAUGCUAAGGAAAAAGAUAUCGCUGACAUAUAUGCAGAAUCCUGGGCCGCAACAUUCAGGCAGCUGCCAGCGGAUCAGCAAAUUUUUGCCAGAAAGGGGAUUGAGGAACUGCUAUUCCAAGGCCAACUGGGUAUGCUGACGUUUGAAAGCGUAGCUCAACAUGCAUACCAAUCCAGCACACCAGUUACUGCUAGACCAAUCCCUUCAGUUGUGUAUCAUCGGAACAGCGUUAAUAAUCUGUCUACAUGUCUCAAUUACACUUCGGCCAACACUUUGCGGAGAAAUUCCAGUUGAAAAUUUUAAGUCCUCAUAUGAUUGUCAGCAAAGUUGCCGAAAGCCUUUCAUUUGGCGUUAUUGACAUUCUCGAGGGAAUGUCGUGUCGUUUAGUCUUAGGUCCUACCA